CAGGGGUUUACACGGGCGAUGCAUGGACGACUAAGGAGGCUGAUUUGUGCAGCUUUAGCCGCCACAGUAGUGUUCAGUUUGAUGACUUACUUCGACCCGGUUUCCUUAUGAUUUCAUCACAAGGUUCAGGAGACCGAGAUCCAGCUUACAAGCGCACAAACAGUGGGAAACGUGCAUCAACCAGCGACACAGAACUGGCCGACUAUUUCCAGUUCAACCCUAAACGGCAUCGAUUGGGAUGUCGGUGUACAGAGACUUGAUCCAAUUGUUAACAGUGAACCAUGCAGUGGAACUAUUAACGAUUCACGUCGCACCACCUUAUUCAAGGACUAUGACAAGGUGCAACACUACUUAGAUGACUUUUUCGUUAGCAUGGCAGACAUUAACGCGCUUCCCACGGACGCAGAUCCGGUGUUCUUAACCGGUGUUUCGUCCAAUCACUUUCGAGAGUCCAUGGAUAUGUUUAACAACUUCAACUCUGUGGUGCGCAAGAUGAAACCGAAUUUGCGGAUGAUUUUCUUUGACUUAGGUCUGCAGGCCGGCGAACCAGACCAAAUAAAAGCAAUUUGUCAGUGCGAAUACAGGCUGUUUCCGUUUGAAAAAUUCCCGGCGUAUGUAAAGGAGCUAAAAGGGUAUGCGUGGAAACCGUUGUCAAUAAUG